rnacentral:rRNA from 1 species
UACGUAGGGCGCGAGCGUUGUCCGGAAUUAUUGGGCGUAAAGAGCUCGUAGGCGGUCUGUUGCGUCGGCUGUGAAAACCCGAGGCUCAACCUCGGGCCUGCAGCCGAUACGGGCAGACUAGAGUUCGGCAGGGGAGACUGGAAUUCCUGGUGUAGCGGUGAAAUGCGCAGAUAUCAGGAGGAACACCGGUGGCGAAGGCGGGUCUCUGGGCCGAUACUGACGCUGAGGAGCGAAAGCGUGGGGAGCGAACAGG